rnacentral:rRNA from 1 species
UACGGAGGGGGCUAGCGUUGUUCGGAAUUACUGGGCGUAAAGCGCACGUAGGCGGCUUUGUAAGUUAGAGGUGAAAGCCUGGAGCUCAACUCCAGAAUAGCCUUUAAGACUGCAUCGCUUGAACACGGGAGAGGUGAGUGGAAUUCCGAGUGUAGAGGUGAAAUUCGUAGAUAUUCGGAAGAACACCAGUGGCGAAGGCGGCUCACUGGACCGUUGUUGACGCUGAGGUGCGAAAGCGUGGGGAGCAAACAGG